UACGGGGGGGGCAAGCGUUGUCCGGAAUUAUUGGGCGUAAAGAGCGUGUAGGCGGCCAGAUAAGUCCGCUGUGAAAUCUCGAGGCUCAACUUCGAGCUGUCGGUGGAAACUAUCUGGCUAGAGUCCGGAAGAGGAGAAUGGAAUUCCUGGUGUAGCGGUGAAAUGCGCAGAUAUCAGGAAGAACACCCGUGGCUAAGGCGGCUCUCUAGUACGGUACUGACGCUGAGACGCGAAAGCGUGGGGAGCGAACAGG
rnacentral:rRNA from 1 species